ensembl:lncRNA
GAUGUCACCCUAUGGAGAAUGUCACCCUAAGGAGGAUGUCACCCCAUGGAGGUUGAUGUCACCCUAUGGAGGAUGUCACCCUAUGGAGGAGGUCACCCUAUGGAGGUGGAUGUCACCCUAAGGAGGAUGUCACCCUAUGGAGGAUGUCACCUGGAGGCAGAUGUCACCCUGCGAUGGAUGUCACCCCAUGGACGAUGUCACCCCAUGGUGGAUGUCACCCCAUGGAGGAUGUCAGUUGCUGGCUCGAUGUCACCUGGAGGAGAAUGUCACCCCAUGGCUCACUGGAUGUCACCCUAAUGGAUGUCACCCCAUUUGAUGUCACCCAUUCGGAUGUCACCCCAAUGGGUGUCACCCCAUUAGAUGUCACCCCACUGGAUGUCACCCCAUUUGAUGUCACCCCAUUCGAUGUCACCCCAUUGGACGUCACCCCACGGCUCAAUGGAUGUCACCCGAUUGGAUGUCACCCCAUUGGAUGUCACCCUAAUGGGUGUCACCCCAAUGAAUGUCACCCAUUCGGAUGUCACCCCAAUGGGUGUCACCCCAUUGGAUGUCACCUGCUGUGACCUCAGGGCACGCGUGGCCUUUGCUUUGUACCCGCCUGGGAUUAAUUACCCUUUGGAAAAGUGAUUAAAAAUGCUAAUUUACAUCUCUGCGAACCCCGAGUGGCGUUUUGGGGUCCCCAAACCCCAUUCCUAGACAGAACCGCCGAGUGGAUCCAUAACGCGCAUGCUGAUUGGCUACUUGCAGAGCACGCCUUCGCUCUCGGCCAAUCCCUGCGCGCCUUUCAGAACCGCGGGGGCGGGCCUACCCGUCUGGCCCCGCCCCUCUCGGGGGCGUGUAGCCAAUCAGGGCGGCCGUAGCAUUUUGACGUCUCAGCUCCGCCAAUGGCGUUGUGAGAAACAUAACGAGCAAGGCUUCCGUCCCUCCCUGGUGGUCUAGUGGUUAGGAUUCGGCGCUCUCACCGCCGCGGCCCGGGUUCGAUUCCCGGUCAGGGAAGAUUUGUUUUCUCUCUUUUCUCCCCAUUUUGACCCAUUUCUUCCUAUUUUUUUUUAUCCUUUGGGCCAUUUUCUUCCUCCUUUUUACCCUUUCCUCCUCUUUUUCUCCCUCUUUUCUCCCCAUUUUGACCCUUCCCCAUUUCCCCCUUUGUUUCCUCCUUUUCAGUUUUCCUCCUCCUUUCCAUUUCCCCCCCUUUUUCCUCCUCCUUUUGCAUUUUUUUCCUUUUUUUCUCCUAUUUUUUUCAGUUUUCCUCCUAUUUUUCCCCUUUUUCCCUCCUCAUUUCGCUCUUUUCCUCCUUUUUCUGUAUUCUUUUCCCCCUUUUCCUCCUAUUUUGCCCCAUUUCCCCCAUUUUUUCCUCCCCCUUUUUCCUCCCUGCCCUUCCCCAUUUUGCCCAUUUCUCCAUGUUUCCUCCUCAUUUUCACUUCAUUUCUUCUCUCUUUGAAACUUUUUCCUCUCUUAUCCCCCUUUUCACUCCUCCUCCCCCUCUUCCUCUUUUCCUUUUGACAUUUCUCUCCCAUUUCUCCCCUUCAUUUUGAUUUCCUCCCCCCUUUUUCCUCUCUCCUUUUU